ACCUAGCGGCGGACGGGUGAGUAAUGCUUAGGAAUCUGCCUAUUAGUGGGGGACAACAUUCCGAAAGGAAUGCUAAUACCGCAUACGUCCUACGGGAGAAAGCAGGGGAUCUUCGGACCUUGCGCUAAUAGAUGAGCCUAAGUCGGAUUAGCUAGUUGGUGGGGUAAAGGCCUACCAAGGCGACGAUCUGUAGCGGGUCUGAGAGGAUGAUCCGCCACACUGGGACUGAGACACGGCCCAGACUCCUACGGGAGGCAGCAGUGGGGAAUAUUGGACAAUGGGCGGAAGCCUGAUCCAGCCAUGCCGCGUGUGUGAAGAAGGCCUUUUGGUUGUAAAGCACUUUAAGCGAGGAGGAGGCUACUCUAGUUAAUACCUAGAG
rnacentral:rRNA from 1 species